rnacentral:misc_RNA from 1 species
AACUUUUGGCAACGGAUCUCUUGGCUCUCGCAUCGAUGAAGAACGCAGCGAAAUGCGAUACGUAAUGUGAAUUGCAGAUUUCAGUGAAUCAUCGAAUCUUUGAACGCACCUUGCGCCCCUUGGCAUUCCGAGGGGCACACCCGUUUGAGUGUCGUGAAAUUCUCAAACCUUCUUGGUUUCUUGAUCAAGAUGGCUUUGGACUUUGGAGGCAUUUUGCUGGCUUUGCGAAAAGCCAGCUCCUCUUAAAUACAUUAGUGGGAUCCCCUUUGCCGAUCCCCAGGCGUGAUAAGAUAUUUCUACGUCUUGGGAUUUGCUCUGUUCCUUGGGAACCCGCUUCCAACCGUCUCAUGGGAGACAUCGUUCGAGUUUGCUCGACCCACGAACCUUGACCUCAAAUCGGGUGAGACUACCCGCUGAACUUAAGCAUAUCAAUAAGCGGAGGCU